rnacentral:rRNA from 1 species
AUCCUCGGAUCAGGUAGGGAUACCCGCUGAACUUAAGCAUAUCAAUA